rnacentral:rRNA from 1 species
GACGGGUUAGUAACGCGUGGGAACGUACCCAGAUCUACGGAAUAGCCUCGGGAAACUGAGAGUAAUACCGUAUACGCCCUUCGGGGGAAAGAUUUAUCGGAUUUGGAUCGGCCCGCGUAAGAUUAGAUAGUUGGUGGGGUAAUGGCCUACCAAGUCUACGAUCUUUAGCUGGUUUGAGAGGAUGAUCAGCAACACUGGGACUGAGACACGGCCCAGACUCCUACGGGAGGCAGCAGUGGGGAAUCUUAGACAAUGGGCGCAAGCCUGAUCUAGCGAUGCCGCGUGAGUGAUGAAGGCCUUAGGGUCGUAAAGCUCUUUCGCCUGUGAAGAUAAUGACGGUAGCAGGUAAAGAAACCCCGGCUAACUCCGUGCCAGCAGCCGCGGUAAUACGGAGGGGGUUAGCGUUGUUCGGAAUUACUGGGCGUAAAGCGCACGUAGGCGGACUAGUCAGUCAGAGGUGAAAUCCCAGGGCUCAACCCUGGAACUGCCUUUGAUACUGCUAGUCUUGAGUUCGAGAGAGGUAAGUGGAAUUCCGAGUGUAGAGGUGAAAUUCGUAGAUAUUCGGAGGAACACCAGUGGCGAAGGCGGCUUACUGGCUCGAUACUGACGCUGAGGUGCGAAAGUGUGGGGAGCAAACAGGAUUAGAUACCCUGGUAGUCCACACCGUAAACGAUGAAUGCCAGACGUCGGGUAGCAUGCUAUUCGGUGUCACACCUAACGGAUUAAGCAUUCCGCCUGGGGAGUACGGUCG